GGGACGUAAAGGGUGCGUAGGCGGGUUCUUUUAAGUCAGAGGUAGAAAUCCUGGAGCUCAACCUCCAAGAACUGUCCUUUGAUACUGAGGAUUCUUGAGUUCGGGAGAGGUGAGUGGAACUGCGAGUGUAGAGGUAGUAAAUUCGUAGAUUAUUCGACAAGAACACCAGUGGACGAAGGCGGCUCACGUCGGCCCGAUACUGACGCUGAGGCACGAAAGCGUGGGGAGACAAACAGGAUUAGACUACCCUGGUAGUCCACGACCGUAAACGAUGAAUCGCCAGCCGUUAGUUGGGUUUACUCACUAGUGGCGCAGCUAACGCUUUAAGCAUUCCGCCGUGGGGAGUACGGUCGCAAGAAUUAAAACU
rnacentral:rRNA from 1 species